rnacentral:rRNA from 1 species
GAGUGAACGCUAGCGGCAGGCUUAAUACAUGCAAGGUCGAGGGGCAUCAAGGUACACGAAAGUGUAUUGUUGGCGACCGGCGGACGGGUGAGUAAUAGGUAGGUAACCUACCUCAUACUGAGGCAUAGCUGGGAGAAAUUCCAGGUAAUUCCUCAUGAGGUUAUAUGACACAUGUGAUAUAAUCAAAGGUAUCGCAAGGUACUGGUAUGAGAUGGGCUUACUGACCAUUAGCUAGUUGGUGAGAUAAGAGCUCACCAAGGCGAAGAUGGUUAGGGGUUUUGAGAGAGAGAUCCCCCACAUUGGAACUGAGAUACGGUCCAGACUCCUACGGGAGGCAGCAGUAGGGAAUAUUGGGCAAUGGGCGGAAGCCUGACCCAGCCAUGCCGCGUGAGGGAAGAAGGCCUUCGGGUUGUAAACCUCUGUCAUGGGGGAAGAAGUAAGUGACGGUACCCCAAGAGGAAGCCCCUGCUAACUACGUG